rnacentral:rRNA from 1 species
GAUGAACGCUGGCGGCGUGCCUAAUACAUGCAAGUCGAGCGAACGGACGAGAAGCUUGCUUCUCUGAUGUUAGCGGCGGACGGGUGAGUAACACGUGGAUAACCUACCUAUAAGACUGGGAUAACUUCGGGAAACCGGAGCUAAUACCGGAUAAUAUUUUGAACCGCAUGGUUCAAAAGUGAAAGACGGUCUUGCUGUCACUUAUAGAUGGAUCCGCGCUGCAUUAGCUAGUUGGUAAGGUAACGGCUUACCAAGGCAACGAUGCAUAGCCGACCUGAGAGGGUGAUCGGCCACACUGGAACUGAGACACGGUCCAGACUCCUACGGGAGGCAGCAGUAGGGAAUCUUCCGAGAUGGGCGAAAGCCUGACGGAGCAACGCCGCGUGAGUGAUGAAGGUCUUCGGAUCGUAAAACUCUGUUAUUAGGGAAGAACAUAUGUGUAAGUAACUGUGCACAUCUUGACGGUACCUAAUCAGAAAGCCACGGCUAACUACG